UUAAUUUUUGUGUAAUUAUAGACUCUUGGCCGGCCCCUUAUAGGAUUUUUUACCUCUGCUCAGGACGAACGCUGGCGGCGUGCUUAACACAUGCAAGUCGAGCGGUAAGGCCUUUCGGGGUACACGAGCGGCGAACGGGUGAGUAACACGUGGGUGAUCUGCCCUGCACUUCGGGAUAAGCCUGGGAAACUGGGUCUAAUACCGGAUAUGACCUCCUAUCGCAUGGUGGGUGGUGGAAAGAUUUAUCGGUGCAGGAUGGGCCCGCGGCCUAUCAGCUUGUUGGUGGGGUAAUGGCCUACCAAGGCGACGACGGGUAGCCGACCUGAGAGGGUGACCGGCCACACUGGGACUGAGACACGGCCCAGACUCCUACGGGAGGCAGCAGUGGGGAAUAUUGCACAAUGGGCGAAAGCCUGAUGCAGCGACGCCGCGUGAGGGAUGACGGCCUUCGGGUUGUAAACCUCUUUCAGCAGGGACGAAGCGCAAGUGACGGUACCUGCAGAAGAAGCACCGGCUAACUACGUGCCAGCAGCCGCGGUAAUACGUAGGGUGCAAGCGUUGUCCGGAAUUACUGGGCGUAAAGAGUUCGUAGGCGGUUUGUCGCGUCGUUUGUGAAAACCAGCAGCUCAACUGCUGGCUUGCAGGCGAUACGGGCAGACUUGAGUACUGCAGGGGAGACUGGAAUUCCUGGUGUAGCGGUGAAAUGCGCAGAUAUCAGGAGGAACACCGGUGGCGAAGGCGGGUCUCUGGGCAGUAACUGACGCUGAGGAACGAAAGCGUGGGUAGCGAACAGGAUUAGAUACCCUGGUAGUCCACGCCGUAAACGGUGGGCGCUAGGUGUGGGUUCCUUCCACGGAAUCCGUGCCGUAGCUAACGCAUUAAGCGCCCCUUCUUGGAGACCCCAAACCUC
rnacentral:rRNA from 1 species